AGCUUUUCGCCAUGAUGGCUCUUGCCUUCGGUGAUCCAUGGUGUCACUACGCUCCAUGAACAACGGAAAUUAUACAAUAAAGACACAUUUUAAAUAUAUUGUGGUGUAAGCAUAGAACAGAAUAAGGAAAUAUUGAAGGUGUAUACUUUUUUUUCUAAAAUAAUCUGUGAAACUAAAUGACCACUGGAUCACCCAUUUACCAUCCACCUACGACAACCCUACGGGCCAUUGCAUACAUGAUAAGUAAAAGAGAAAUUUUAUGCGACUCGUGAUG
rnacentral:lncRNA from 1 species